rnacentral:rRNA from 1 species
CCUGCCAGUAGUCAUAUGCUUGUCUCAAAGAUUAAGCCAUGCAUGUGUAAGUGCACGCCUAAGUAUGGUGAAACCGCGAAUGGCUCAUUAAAUCAGCUAUAAUUUAUUGGACUAUAAAUCACGUUAUAUGGAUAACUGUAAUAAUUCUAGAGCUAAUACAUGCCGAUAUGCCCUGAGCUGAUCACUCUUACUCACUUCUGUGAUAAGUAAGUAAGUGAUUAGUGAUGGGUGCCCUUAUUAGUAUAAAAGCCAACCAGCCUAAUUAGCUCAUGCUCAUGCUAAGGCUGAUAAUGAUAUUGGUAGAUGAGUCUGGAUAAUUGUUGCAGAUCGCAUUAUGCGGCGACGGGUCCUUCAAAUGUCUGCCCUAUCAACUUUCGAUGGUAGGUGAUCUGCCUACCAUGGUGCUAACGGGUAACGGGGAAUCAGGGUUCGAUUCCGGAGAGGGAGCUUGAGAAAUGGCUACCACUUCCAAGGAAGGCAGCAGGCGCGCAAAUUACCCACUCCCGGCACGGGGAGGUGGUGACGAAAAAUACUGAUACGGGACUCUUAUGAAGCUCCGUAAUCGGAAUGAGUGAAAUUUAAAUCCUUUCACGAGGAUCUAUUGGAGGGCAAGUCUGGUGCCAGCAGCCGCGUAACUCAGCUCAAUAGCGUAUAUUAAAGUUGCUGCAGUUAGAACGCUCGUAGUUGGAUCUCGGUGACAUUGAUACACACAACGUAAUUUGUCUAAGUAAAUGGGUAAGUAAGUAAGUAAGUAAGUAAGUAAGCAGGGAGGGUGUGAGUGCGAGUGCGAAUAGCAUUAACUAACUCACUCACUCACUCACUCACUCACUCACUAACUAACUANCUAGCCAGCUAUCAAUANCUAACUAACAAAUAGAUAUGUGUGUGUGUGUAUCUAUCUAUCUAUGUAUGUCAAUCUAACAAACACACACAUACAUACAUACAGAUUGAGUGUGUGUGUGUGCGUGCAUACAUACAUACAUACACACACACACACACACACACUCACNCAGGCAACCCUAGUAGUAAUUUAUGUGUGUGUUUGUUUCAGCCCGCAAGUUANUAAUAAUGAUGGCUUGCUAGCAUGCCUUCGGAUGCUCNUUAUUGGGUGUGUGUGUGCAGACGGNACGUUUACUUUCAACAAANUUNAGUGAUCNAUCCAGGCGUUGGUAUGUAUGUAUGUAUGUAUGUAUACUUGCUUGAAAAGUUUUGCAUGGAAUAAUGAAAUAGGACUUCGGUUCUAUUUUGUUGGUUUUGAGAUCCGAAGUAAUGAUCAAAAGAGACAGGCGGGGACGUUUGUAUGGUAGCGAUAGAGGUGAAAUUCAUUGACCGUUACCAGACACACUAAAGCGAAAGCAUUCGUCAAGCAUGUUUUCAUUGACCAUGAGCGAAAGUCAGAGGCUCGAAGACGAUCAGAUACCGUCGUAGUUCUGACCAUAAACGAUGCCAACUGACGAUCUGUGACGGAUAACCUUGUUUAGUUUCCCACAGGCAGUCUCCGGGAAACCUUUAAGUGUGUGGUUCCGGGGGAAGUAUGGUUGCAAAGCUGAAACUUAAAGGAAUUGACGGAAGGGCACCACCAGGAGUGGNGUGCGGCUUAAUUCGACUCAACACGGGAAAACUCACCCGGCCCGGACACUGUGAGGAUUGACAGAUUGAGAGAUCUUUCAUGAUUCGGUGGUUGGUGGUGCAUGGCCGUUCUUAGUUGGUGGAGCGAUUUGUCUGGUUAAUUCCGAUAACGAACGAGACUCUAGCCUGCUAAUUAGUGCAUUUGUCCUCUCUACUCAUAUUUACUCAUCACAUUAUUCACAUUACAAAUGUUAUUGUUAUUGUUAUUGUUAUUGUUAUUAUGUUGUUGUUGUCGUCGUCGUCGUCGUCGUCGUUGUGGNUAUCCUUGUUGUUAUGCUUGUUGUUNUGAUUGAUCCUUAUUAGUAAUGAUUAAUUAAUAGAUCGGCUAAUGAUAGUGAUAAUGAUGAUGAUGAUGAUGAUGAUGAUGAUGAUGAUGAUGAUGAUGAUGAUGAUGAUGAUGAUGAUGAUAAUGAUAAUAAUGAGUAAUGAAUUGACAUUAAUUAUUUGAGUAGAGUGCAAAUUAGUACUUCUUAGAAGGACCGGUAGGCUUUAACCUACACGAAAUUGAGCAAUAACAGGUCUGUGAUGCCCUUAGAUGUCCGGGGCCGCACGCGCGCUACAAUGAUGGUACCAACGAGUUUGAAAUUCUGGCCCGAGAGGUUGGGUAAACUGUUUAAUUACCGUCGUGACAGGAAUCGGGGCUUGGAAUUGUUCCCCGUAAACGAGGAAUUCCUAGUAAGUGCAAGUCAUUAGCUUGCACUGAUUACGUCCUGCCCUUUGUACACACCGCCCGUCGCUACUACCGAUUGAAUGGUUUAGCAAG